rnacentral:lncRNA from 1 species
UGCGGGAACUUGCAGACGGCGCAGGUGCAGAGGCCAGGCGCCGCCGCGCCGGGGCCCGUGCUGCUGGCGCCCGGCGCCGUGGGGCCGCCCGACGCGCUGCGCCCGGCCAAGUACCUGUCUCUGGCGCUCGAGGAGCCGCCGUGCGGCCAGUUCGCGCUCCCCGGCGGCGGUCCGGGCGGCGGCGCGGGCGGCCCUGGCCUCUGCACCUGCGCCGUCUGCAAGUUCCCGCACCUGGUCCCGGCCGGCCUGGGCCUGGCCGCUGUGCCGGCGCAGUUCUCCAAGUGAGGGCCGGCUCGGGCGCCACCUCGGCCCGGCCUCCCGCCGCCCAAGCCGGGCAGAGCCAGGAGGGCACUGCGGACCUCCUCGCCCAGAGACAGGGACUGCUGGGCGUCCCCUUUCGCGCCCCCAUUCCGGGGAAAUUAAAGUGACCCGAGCGGAUGUUCGACAGAACGUCGGGGCACUUUGGGGUCUUGGGUGGCUUCCAGCUGCUUUGCGCUCACGUGCGCGCUCUCACCGUCUUCCCGCGCCCGUGUCUCCCGGUUCCUGGAGUCGUGCGUUUCUCAAGGGCGAUGCGGACUUUACGGCGCCGGGCUAGCCCGGGUGCGGCGGUGGGCCGACACCUGCAGAGCCAGGGAACCAAGGGGCUAUUCUCGGAGGGCGGGGGGCUGCAGGUAGACUUGGAGGUGUUUCCUUCUUCUCGGCCAGAGGUCACAGGCGCCCUUGUUCACCAGCAGCCAGUCCCGGUUAGAGGAGGCUGGCCGACCCCCAGGAAGCCGAGAAAGACCACGCCGUCAGUGCAGACGGCUUCGCGCAUAGCAGACGGACAGACAGACCCUCGGCGGCCAGACGGGGCAGCGUAGGCAACUUUUGAGCUUGCUUGAAAACAACCACCUUUCCUCCGCAGACCGGCUUCCGGGCGUACUAAAAGAAAAUAGGUAACAAUGCGUUUCGCGGUUGCCGGCUUGGCAGAAGGCACGAUCUCUAAUUAACGUUCUGCCUCGUUAAACACGGAGGGGGACCAGGGACCCUGCUGUGGUGGCCACGGCUGGGUGGCGUUUUCUGCGCGGUCCCUUCGCGUUCGGGGGGGUCUUGGACCAGCGCGUGGGCCAGGUCUUCUGGCCACUUCGGGAUGGAAAAACUACGUUGAUUUGUUACAGGCGUUAGCAAAUUUCUUCAUCCAACAUGACUUCAUGAUCUUUCAGCAGCUUGCUUUGGAUUUUAAGGUUUCGGGGUUGUUGAUAGUUGCCGAAUUUAACUGGCAUUUUAUUUUUUUCCCCCUCUAACUUUGUUUCCCUGCGCUGUGAAGAAUCAACAAAAUAAACAUGUAAGGGCCUUACAUUUUUUGUCUGAUUUGUUAAUAAAAAAGUCCCCGUGCCUGAUGGAUUGAGAACCUCAGAAUGAAGGGUAAUAAAUAAUUAAAUGCCUCCGGUCAAAAGGUUUAAACCUAACUUCCUGAUAUGUAAAAACUAAUCCGAUGAAGUCAACUCUAGGCCAAGUUGAGAGGCAUCUGAAGGGGCAGGCAGGUAAAUGGGUGGAUGAGAAGAGAGGGA